rnacentral:tRNA from 1 species
CGGGCAGUAGCUCUGUGGUAGAGCUUUCGCAUUAUACGCGGAAAGACCUGGAUUAGAUUCCCGGCCGCUUCG